GUGGGGCAGCAGUCGCUGUGCUGGGCUCACACACCUCCUGACCCGCAUGGAAAUUGGCACCCUGAGGGCUCCUCAGCCUUCUGGGGCUUGUCUGCCCACGGAGCAGUGUCCACCCUCUGAGAUACAGCCUGGAAAAUGGAUGGGAGAGACAUUUAUGCCUGUUAGUACGUGGAUUGAAUAAGGGGCUUGUGAUCUCAGCAUUUGCAUAUUGAUAUUGGGAAGAGCUCCCUGAGGAAAUGGUGGAGAGCUUUUGCACAGGGAGCUUUCAGGAGCUGCAGACACAUAGGAAUAGCCUCAAGACUCCUUUGGUGAAGAUCUUCCAGCUCUAUUAUGUUUUCCGCAUCAUUUCAGUGUCCAGCAUGUAAAUGAAGGAUGAUCCACCCUGGCUGCUGGUGGAGGGAAGGAGUGAAACUGAGUUAAAAACCCCUUUGAAGAGUGCAUACAAAACAUUGCUGCCACUAAAGCCAAUGCUAAAACUUCCAUGGAUCUCAUUACAGACAGAUUUUCACCAGGCUCCAAUUUAAGUGGAGCUGCUCACAUCCUUACAACAAGCAUCUUAAUAAGCUUUUGCAAACUUGAAGCCUUAACUCAUGGUCCCAGCUGCUGAAUGUGGAGAAGAUAUAUUAGACCCACUUUUUGCCAUGUGGAAGACUGCUCUCUACAUGACAUUAAUUGCUCUCUGCCUCACUUAAUAAGAGUCUGCUUUCAGCAGCCCAAUAUAACCAUGUAAUCAGAAGAAUUUCUGUUUAUUGUUAAAAUGUUUUCAUGCCUAGAAAAUGAAGACUUCUGGAAUAUGUCUGAUGGAAGCACGACAUGGGCGUCGGGAGCGAGCGUCUGGAGCACUGGGCUGGGAUUUGCUCCUCAGCCUCCCCAUGCCCUGCUCAGCCAGGACCCACAGCCCAGGUUAUCCAAGGAUACAGAGCUGGAGGACUCAUCCGAAGAGAUGUGGGGGCUAUCUGAGGUGUGAGCUGUGAGCAUCAGAAAGGAACCAUCUCAAUCCAACGUGCAGAACUGUUGAGAAGCAGGACAAGCCCCUGUGAAGCUUUGCCUCCUCCUCAUCCUC
rnacentral:lncRNA from 1 species